UACGUAGGGUGCAAGCGUUAAUCGGAAUUACUGGGCGUGAAGCGUGCGCAGGCGGUUCUAUAAGACAGAUGUGAAAUCCCCGGGCUCAACCUGGGAACUGCAUUUGUGACUGUAGAGCUGGAGUACGGUAGAGGGGGAUGGAAUUCCGCGUGUAGCAGUGAAAUGCGUAGAUAUGCGGAGGAACACCGAUGGCGAAGGCAAUCCCCCUGGACCUGUACUGACGCUCAUGCACGAAAGCGUGGGGAGCAAACAGG
rnacentral:rRNA from 1 species